rnacentral:tRNA from 1 species
GUCCAGCUCAGUCGGUAGGGCACAAGGCUUUUAACCUUGUGGUUGUGGGUUCGAGCCCCAUGGUAGACG